rnacentral:rRNA from 1 species
UACGGGGGGGGCAAGCGUUGUUCGGAAUUACUGGGCGUAAAGGGCGCGUAGGCGGUUGGAUAAGUCAGCUGUGAAAACCACGGGCUUAACUCGUGGCCUGCAGUUGAGACUGUCUGGCUUGAGUGUGGGAGAGGAGAGUGGAAUUCCUGGUGUAGCGGUGAAAUGCGUAGAUAUCAGGAGGGACACCGGUGGCGAAGGCGGCUCUCUGGACCACAACUGACGCUGAGGCGCGAAAGCUAGGGGAGCAAACAGG